rnacentral:tRNA from 1 species
GGCGCUGUAGCUCAGUUGGUAGAGCAUGGUGUUUGCAACGCCAGGGUUGUGGGUUCGAUUCCCACGGGGGGCCA